CUUGGCAUGAGGGGGGAAGGGGAGAGCCAGACCGCACUGGAGGACAAGGAAGAAGAGGGGGAAGGCAGCAGCAGCAGCAGAAUGGAGGUGAAUAACUUUACCUUGAGGAGCUGUCCUUAUAUCACAGCAUGGGAACCCCAUUUGAAUCAGACCCUGUUGCAAAACACAGCUGCACAUACAGCGCAAUCUGAAAACUGUUCCUAAGAAGCCUUUGACGUGCUCAUCCACUGUUUCAUUGGAUGGCUUUGACAAUAUCCUCCCUCAACCUAAGUAUCCAGUCUGUAAAAUGGAACAUGAAUAAUUGGAGCAUUUGCCAGCUUUAUUGGGUGAGGACUGGCAAAUAAAGAUUUACGAACACUCUGCACAUUAAUCUUCCACGUGUGUUUAUGUAUCGGGUGAAAACUGUUGAAGUUGCUGGCUCUGCAGUGUUCCAUAAGUACUGGAAGAGACUUUCUUCAAGCACUGCCCUCCCCCUGCUGUUUCAGUUUGCCCUUUUCCGUUGGACCUUCAGAAUAAAAGACAACAUGUUACACCCAGCCUGUGGAUCUUUUGAAAACAUUUGAAUCCAGGGGAGGGCAUCUAGGAUAAAUGAAUUGUAAAUAUUCCUAUUAAUUAUUCAUCUUAAAAACCUAAGCAAAUGUCACAGGAAAACAACAAUAUGAGUCAAACUGCAGGUCACUUUUGUUUUCAGUAUUACUGUAGGUAUGUUUACUUAAGCUAGGCAUUACUGAGCAUCAAAUCAAUCUUUCUUCCUUUCUUUUUUUUUACUCAGUAUAAACCAAAAUAUAAGUAACUUUUCACCAAAGCAAACAAACAAACAAAAAUCCAAAUGAAAUACAUGUAAAAAUUUAUCACUUCCAAAUAAAGAUUUUGGUAAACCCAACCAAAUGCCGUAAA